UACAGGGGGGGCAAGCGUUGUUCGGAAUUACUGGGCGUAAAGGGCUUGUAGGUGGCCAACUAAGUCACACGUGAAAUCCCCAGGCUUAACCUGGGAACUGCGUGUGAUACUGGAUGGCUUGAAUCCGGAAGAGGUGAGUGGAAUUCCUGGUGUAGCGGUGAAAUGCGCAGAUAUCGGGAGGAACACCAAUGGCGAAGGCAGCUCGCUGGGACGUUACUGACGCUGAGACGCGAAAGCGUGGGGAGCAAACAGG
rnacentral:rRNA from 1 species